rnacentral:rRNA from 1 species
CACUCCUACGGGAGGCAGCAGUGGGGAAUAUUGCACAAUGGGCGCAAGCCUGAUGCAGCCAUGCCGCGUGUAUGAAGAAGGCCUUCGGGUUGUAAAGUACUUUCAGCGGGGAGGAAGGCAAUACGGUUAAUAACCGUGUUGAUUGACGUUACCCGCAGAAGAAGCACCGGCUAACUCCGUGCCAGCAGCCGCGGUAAUACGGAGGGUGCAAGCGUUAAUCGGAAUUACUGGGCGUAAAGCGCACGCAGGCGGUCUGUCAAGUCGGAUGUGAAAUCCCCGGGCUCAACCUGGGAACUGCAUUCGAAACUGGCAGGCUUGAGUCUUGUAGAGGGGGGUAGAAUUCCAGGUGUAGCGGUGAAAUGCGUAGAGAUCUGGAGGAAUACCGGUGGCGAAGGCGGCCCCCUGGACAAAGACUGACGCUCAGGUGCGAAAGCGUGGGGAGCAAACAGGAUUAGAAACCCGUGUAGUCCCAUG